GGCCACCGAAACUUAUCCCGCAGCGCCCGAAAGAUUUCUCGUCCUCGGAAUGCAGAGGGGAUGAAACAUCAACCUGACAUUUUCAUCUUUGUCAAUCCGUGAGUCCAGGCCUCAGCCUGAGCAGCGCUGACGAAACUAGGGUGAAAUAAAGGCAUUCUCAGAUAAAGGAACUCUAAGAAUACAAGCAUCUUGCUCUAGAGGAAAACCCAAAGGUGGAAGAAAAAUGAAAGAAGGGAGGAACUUGGAUCUUCAGGAAGUAAGAAAGAGCAACAUAAAUGCACAGGAAGAUUUUCAACACAGAACUGGGGAAGUUCAAAUAACGGAAGUACUGCAGAAGAGGAUGCCAAGGUCAAGCAAGGCAAUUUGUGCCACAAAAUAUCAAAAAGAUUCAGAAGAUGGAGGAAAUCAAGUGCCUUAAAACAAAAAUAAAGGACAGGAGUUGAAAAAAGAUUACAUAAGGUGCAGUUAGACCUCUACUUUCCUUGCCAAGACAAAGGACCACUCCCUUAUAUGAAAUGGACGCUAUUCUUUGCAGAAAUUUAAUCAGAGAAGCUCCAGACUCAGGGGACCCAACAAAUGAGUUGACAGGGGAGAGGUGCUAUACCGAAAUCAAUGUGAUUAAAUCUAUAUAAAAUAUAGUGAGAACUUUGGCACUAUUCUACAGCUGAGGCAAAAAAAAAAAAAAAAAAAGCUGGCAACCAGGUAUACAAACCUGAUAAUAGGAUAUGAAAGCAUCCUUCUCUGGAAAAUCUAAAAGGCCCAUGAUAAACCACAUUAGGAUGCCUCUCCAAGAUAAUACUUGUUGCUUGUAUGCAUUUCUUUUGCCAAAACAAAGGCUCUGGCCAAACCUAAGUUUCUAAGAGUAAGGCAGUAUAACUCUUCUGCAAGGAGGAGACCCUUGGUCCAUGAGGCCGUUUACUUUUUAUGCACUGAAGCCUACCAGAAGACUAGGAGCACCCAAGCAUAUCAUUCUUAAAUAUGACUGUGCAGCCAAUACUCCACACACAUUUGAGGAACCCCACUAACAUGAAAGCACAAUAUCAAGAGAAAAAAGAAACUCUAAGGAAAAACAGGCAAAGAAAAGCAAACAAAAACAGAACUCUGAAACUAAUCACAAAUGAUUAUGAGAAAAUGUUUUAUCAGAGAAACGAUAACAGGAUUUUUAAAGCAAGAAACAGAAAGAAAAAGUUCCCUGAGAAAUUAAGACUGGGGGUGGGGAAGGGGUAGAGAAGGUGAGGUAGAUAACAGCCUCUUUAUUGCAGAAAGACAAUAUAUUGUUUUACCCUAAGAAACAGGAAUGGCUCUUGUUUGGUCAAUGAAAUAUAAGCACGAGUAAUAAGUACCACUUCCUGGUAGAAGCUUUCAGAUGACAAAUUCAGAGGCUAAACCAAAGUAAUAUGUUUAACAACUAAGUAAAAAAAAAAAAAGUUCCAAAAAACAAAAGGAGAAAACUGAUCAGAAGAAAUAGUCAAAGAAUAAAAAACUCAUCUACAUCAUGAAUCUCUAGACUCUUUAAAGGGCCCACUUGAUACCUUGCACAAUGAAUAAUAAAUAUAUAUAUAGUAGUAUACACAUACACAUAUAUUUCUCUUGUUCACCAAUGAAUGAUAGGUGUCUCAAGGAAAAACACUUGGGCAAAUCAUUUAAGUUGUGAGUUACACUAGCCACUUUUUUCAUGGGCACGAUUAAUUUGCUUUAAAUAAUAAAUGACCACCUUACAAAAUGAUUAUUCAGACUUGGGUAUUGCUUGGUACUUUCUUCAGACAAAAUGAAGACAAUUCUUUAAAAGAAAAACUGACAGCACACACUGUCAAUGAUAAAAUUUGAGUUUUCAAGCAAAAAUUAAAAUUCUGGAAAAUCAGUAUCCUCCAUGAGAUUGAUAGUUUCUAAACUCUUAAAAGACCUUUCUAAUGAGAUUGGUAGUGCUGUUAACAAAAUCUGAUGUUUUGAUAUUAUAUAAUGAGAUAUGUCAACAUUUUAAAGAUCUGCAUAACUCAAAUGACCAAUGCAUGAUGUUACAAAAUCCUGAAUGGUUAAGAGAUCCAUUCAAAGUGUCAGACAAACAAAAAGUUUAAGACAUGGAUUUUAAGUAAAAGAAUGAAAGUAUCUGAAAUAGUUUCAAAUUCCGCAUUGAGGCUAAGCUUGAAAAAAUUACCACUGUCAAGUGUUGGUGGAGUACCAAAGAAUAUCCACAAUUACCUGAAAAAGGUAUUAAAAUACUUCUUCUAACUACAUCUGUAUGAAGCCACAAUUUUUUAAUAUAUUUCAACCAAAACAGGUUACAACAACAGAAAUGAGAAUCCAACUGUCUUCUAUUAAACCAGAAUAAAGAUAUUUACACAUGUGCAAAACAAUGCCAGUCUUCUAACUUCUUUUAUUUUGGAAAACUUAUUUUUAUUAAGAAAUAAAAGUGAUUUAAGUUUA